GGUCAAGUUAGUAAGGGCAUAUGGUGGAUGCCUUGGCAUCAGACGGCGAAGAAGGACGCGGCAGGCUGCGAAAAGCCACGGGGAGCAGCGAGCAUGCAUAGAUCCGUGGACGUCCGAAUGGGGAAACCCGGCAGGGGUAAAGCCCUGUCAUCUUAUACUGAAUACAUAGGUGUAAGAAGCGAACCCGGGGAAGUGAAACAUCUCAGUACCUGGAGGACAAGAAAUCAAACGAGAUUCCCUUAGUAGCGGCGAGCGAACGGGGAAGAGCCCAAACCCGGGAAGACAUUGAACCUACAACAUUAGCCAUUUAAUCAUAACAAGAAAGUUAAAUGAGCUGAGAUUUGCAGGUUGGAUGUCUUUCCGGGGGUUGUAGGACCGCAAUAGUACUACCUUUAUUUGUUAGUCGAAUUCAGAUGGAACGCUGAGCCGUAGAAGGUGAUAGUCCUGUAGGCGAAAACAAAUGAAGGGGGAAGCGGUAUCCUGAGUACCACAGGUCACGUGGAACCCUGUGGGAAUCUGGGGGGACCACCCUCCAAGGCUAAAUACGUUCUGAUGACCGAUAGUGCACAGUACCGUGAGGGAAAGGUGAAAAGAACCCUGGCGAAGGGAGUGAAAUAGAACCUGAAACCGUAUGCCUACAAUGAAUCAGAGCACAGAGCAAUCUGUGUGAUGGUAUGCCUUUUGAUUAAUGAGCCGGCGAGUUACCGGUUGCAGCGAGGUUAAUCUCGUCAACGAGAGGAGCCGUAGGGAAACCGAGUCUUAAUAGGGCGACUAGUUGCAAUCGGUAGACCCGAAGCCAGUUGAUCUACCCAUGGUCAGGGUGAAGCGGGAGUAAGAUCUCGUGGAGGCCCGAACCGGUGUUUGUUGCAAAAAGCUCGGAUGAACUGUGGGUAGGAGCGAAAGACCAAUCAAAACUGGUGAUAGCUGGUACUCCCCGAAAUGCAUUUAGGUGCAGCCUUUGGUAAUAGUCUGCAGGGGGUAGGGCACUGGAUGGGCUAGGGCUUCGCAAGAGGUACCAAACCCAACCAAAC
rnacentral:rRNA from 1 species